rnacentral:rRNA from 1 species
AUGGAACGCUGGCGGCAUGCUUUACACAUGCAAGUCGAACGGUAACAGGCCUUCGGGUGCUGACGAGUGGCGAACGGGUGAGUAAUGCAUCGGAACAGGCCCAGUCGUGGGGGAUAACGGAGCGAAAGUUAUGCGAAUACCGCAUACGUCCUGAGGGAGAAAGCGGGGGAACGAAAGACGUCGCGCUAUUGGAGUGGCCGAUGGCAGAUUAGCUAGUUGGUGAGGUAAAGGCUCACAAAGGUGAAGAUCUGUAGCGGGUCUGAGAGGAUGAUCCACCACACUGGGACUGAGACACGGCCCAGGCUCCUACGGGAGGCAGCAGUGGGGAAUUUUGGACAAUGGGGGCAACCCUGAUCCAGCCAUGCCGCGUGCGGGAAGAAGGCCUUCGGGUUGUAAACCGCUUACGGACAGAAAGAAAUCGCCAUUCCUAAUACGAGUGGUGGAUGACGGUACUGUAAGAAGAAGCACCGGCUAACUACGUGCCAGCAGCCGCCGCCGUAA